AGUAAAGGAAACUUAUGUAUCAAGUUCCUAUGUACAUCCUACAUGAUGGAAUUUUGAUUGUAGGGUAUCAAAAACUUUUAAAAUGCUUAUGAAUUUGAGCUCAUCUGCCUCCUCUGGGCUAUGCCAACGCAACUGCUGUCCUCAGUCAGAGGUAGAGAGGAUGACUAAGACUUGGGGAUAAUUUGAACAAGGAAACAAAGGGGCCCAAGAGUUUUUAAGACUGAAGAUUAGGAAGUGCCUGAAUGAGUGACAUUUCAUUGGAGUCUUGAUCACAGAAUGGCAUUACCAUGAUGGAAGCACAAGAAAGGGGUUGCCUGGAGGGGAGAUAAAGAAGGGAAUGGAGAUGUUAAAGGUGGAAAGUAAAGGUGACAAGGGGUGGAUUAGGGGUCAGUCAAUGGGAUGGAGGUGGUGACCAUGGGCUGGAGCCAAAGGGAAGAGGAUCAGGGAAGUUAUGAAUACAAAAUGCUUUUUUCUAUUCUAUAGUCCAUUGAUUACUUACUGUUAACAUCAAUUUGCUCACAUCCAGGGGCAGAUGUAGAGGGAUGCAGUGGUAUGGUCACACCCCCUCUUUUUGACUACAUUGAAGGAACAGCAGCCAGGGACUUUAAGUCCUAGAAGAAGUAUAUGGGGGUGGUAGCCGUGGCUCUUGGCUUCCUGUACCCCAGUCAGAAGAGCAGGAGAGCAAGUUCCUGCUGUUGCCCAGAGAAGCUGGUUGGAACGAUCAUGGAACAGCUUGAUCUCUCACCUCUGAGGGAAAAGAACACCCUGUAUUUUACAUUACAUUUAUCUCUACCUUCAGAAGACAACAGUUUCCACAUGUCUUACUGCAUUGUCCUGCGUAUUUCUUCUGACAUACUGUCUUGUAGAAUGCCUUGAGAGAGAGCAAAGGUUAGCUAUGAAAUAGAAUCCUGUGUUUGGCAUUCAGAAGAAUUGUCUGUAUAAAUUUAAACUGUAGUGGGAAACUCCUGCAGAUACAAGAUUCUGCAUUAAAGGAUCAUGAAAGCAAGACCUUAUUUUCUUUAACAGUUACAAGGGAGAGAAACACAAAAGCUACUGGGGAAAAACAAAUUACUACCUUUUUUAGCAGAUGGUACAGUGUAUUUCAUGCAGAUCUGAAGUGUAUGUUUAUGGAGCUAGACAUUGGUAAUUAUUCUCAAACAGAAGAACAGUAAUUAUUUCUUUCAGCAUGGAGGCAAUUCUGAUUUAAUUAGAUGGACUGAAGAACCUGGCUCAGUCAAUGAUACUGACUAACUCCAACAAUUUAAAGACAGUUUAAUGGAGGAUAGCUUUGAACCAACUAUUGAGACGUUUGUAAUAAUCUGGUAUCUGGACAGUUUUGUCAGUAGAUAUUUUCUUCAUGACUUGUAGUUUUGUGGUAUCCUGUGGUUGGUGCCCUCACCAUCACCACUCUGUGUCUAUUCACCAAUGUGAACAUCAUCAUCUAGGUGAUGGUGCCAUGCUCGUUGGCAAACCAUAUAUCUUUUCUGAAGUUUUAGAGGUUAUUUCUGUUGCUCUCAGUGGAUAAGAAAUACAUCUACAUAUAGCUGGUAUUUAGUUACAAGCUGUAGUGGGCCAGUAGGGGGUGCUCCUGCAUUGAGCCACCCACCUCACUGUGCCCGACCACCUUCCAGGCUCCGAGUGCCUCCCUGGGGGUGCCUCAUGUCUGGCCAACCCCCUUUCUGGGGUUGGAACACCCACUAGCCUGGGGGUUCCACUGCCACCACCCAGGGCUGGGCUUGAUUCUGGCUCUGUACACCCUGGGAAACACAGGCCUAGUAGCCCUCAAGGGUACUUGUUUCACUUUAAGAACUUGGGAUGCUUCCCUCAGUCAGAAGCACAAGUAGUGGUCUCCCUUAGUCAGCUGAACCAAAGGGACCCCAAGGCAUAAUCUAGACCCACUCCCAAUAAGUCUUCCAUGCUAGGUACAAAGGAGAACUUUAUUGGUUAUAGAGGGUAGGGUUAGAAUAGGGUACAGGGUAGAGCAAUAUCAGAGAAAUCCCAUAGAGCAAACUCCCCUGGUUGGGUAGCCUUUUGAUUAUGCACCUGAGUUACUGCAAGCUAUAUAUCUAGUUAGAUCUCAGGUAGCUUACUCACAAGUAUCAUCCAGGGGCAGUUGGAGAUUCCCUCUGGAGGCAGGCAGUUCCUUGAUCAUGAGUUUUGAGAGAGAGAGCAAGUUUUAGAUGGUAAAGCUCUUCUGUCUCUGAGUCUCCCUCAUGGCUGCUGCCCCCUCCUCCUGGGCAGUCCCUAACUUAUAUAGCCCUUGUGACCUCAUUUACUUGGUCCAAUGGAAACCAGCACCUGUUGGCUGUCUGCCAACCAAUUUGAAAUACAUCACUAGUUGCCGGGCAGACUCUAGCCCACCAGGGGGAAUCCACUCACCCAGGUAUGUGAUACUAGUCACAUAGGCAGAGGGAGCAGGUUUCCCCCCUUCUCAGGAAUGUACCCAGCUCAGGUUACCUAAAGAGAUAGGGUAAAGGUGUAUAUUCUCUACUGGGCCCAUCCUAAUCAAAUUGUCACAGGGCAGUGUUUUUGGGGGAGAGACAAAGGUGGCUUUCUGUCACACAAGCAUGCUGUUAAUUCUAACGUAUGUAAUAGAAGAUCAGUGGCUCAGAGGAAUGUUGUUAAGAUCAUGGUAGCACAGUAUGGGGUGGAAGACUUAUGAUCUAACUGGAGUAAAUGGAUAAAGGAGCUAAAAACUAUUUCUGGCCUUUGUCAAAAGGAAUUUCUUAAUGCUAAUACUAAAAUGCCCUAUUACUGUAAUCCAGUAAAUGAUGGAAAUAAGUGAUGGAAAUAGAUUUAUUAUAACAUAAAAUUUCAAGAUUUUUAUGGCAGCAUCUAGGAGGCCUUGUCACAGUCCAGGACCCCAUAGUGCAAAGCACUGCACAAAAACAGAAGAAAAAUAUAGUCCUCUAUUCAUAGAUUCAUAGAUAGUUAGGGCCUGGGAGGGACCUUGUAGAUCGUUGGGUCCAGUCCCCCCUGCACUAGGCAGGAAAAGGCAACUGGGGCCAGUCUAAGCACGGACUCCUGACGGACACCACUGGCCACUUCUCGCUAGGAUGACACAGAUCCGUUCAUGAGAACUCUCUGGGUCCUACCAUGCAGCCAGUUUUCCACCCACUGAACUGUUGAGCAGUUAAGCCCACAAUCUUCCAAUUUUUCCACAAGGAUAUUGUGGGAUACUAGAUCAAAAGCCUUUUAUAAGUCUAGAUAUAUAAUGUUGACCUUCUCUCCCAUGUUCAGAUGAUGAGAGACCUGUUCACAGAAGGAGAUGAGAUUGGUAGGACAAGACCUACCUGUGAUGAAGCCAUGUUGGCUAUCAUUCAGAAUCUUAUCCUCAUUGAGUGUAUCACACGCAGAUUUUUUAAUGAGUUUUUCCAGGAUUUUCCCUGGGAUGGAGGUUAGGCUGAUUGGCCUAUAGUUGCUCGGGUCCUCCCUCUUCCUCUUCUUGAAGAUGGGGCACAAUGUUGGUCCUCUUCCAGUCCUCAGGGAUCUCCCCUGUGUGCCUACAAAGUCUACAAUCUCAAUACAAGAGGAGAAAAUAGGUGGGUCUAGGUAGAUGGGAAAGUACAAGCAAAUAAUGAGACAAUUCUGGUCAGUAAAAUAGGCAGUCAUCUCAGCACAUCAGCAGCCUAGCUACUAGGAACAAGUGUGUGCUUUAAAGUAGGAAAUUUUAGGCUACAUACAUGAGAAAUAUGUUUAAAUGUUCCUAAAUCUUAGUGGGAGCAGCACAAAUUUGAGCUGGGGAUUUUUGCCUCAGCGCACAUGCCUGAAAGAGAGAGAGAGAGAGAGAGAGAGAGAGAGAGAAAUAGAGAGACAAUCAGUUGGGCAAUGUUUUAUUGAUAUAUUUUCAAUGUUACAGCAAUUUGGGAGCCUACUAGUGUCUGUA